rnacentral:rRNA from 1 species
UGGGGAAUUUUGGACAAUGGGGGAAACCCUGAUCCAGCCAUCCCGCGUGUGCGAUGAAGGCCUUCGGGUUGUAAAGCACUUUUGGCAGGAAAGAAACGUCGCGGGUUAAUACCCCGCGAAACUGACGGUACCUGCAGAAUAAGCACCGGCUAACUACGUGCCAGCAGCCGCGGUAAUACGUAGGGUGCAAGCGUUAAUCGGAAUUACUGGGCGUAAAGCGUGCGCAGGCGGUUCGGAAAGAAAGAUGUGAAAUCCCAGAGCUUAACUUUGGAACUGCAUUUUUAACUACCGGGCUAGAGUGUGUCAGAGGGAGGUGGAAUUCCGCGUGUAGCAGUGAAAUGCGUAGAUAUGCGGAGGAACACCGAUGGCGAAGGCAGCCUCCUGGGAUAACACUGACGCUCAUGCACGAAAGCGUGGGGAGCAAACAGGAUUAGAUACCCUGGUAGUCCACGCCCUAAACGAUGCCAACUAGCUGUUGGGGCCUUCGGGCCUUGGUAGCGCAGCUAACGCGUGAAGUUGACCGCCUGGGGAGUACGGUCGCAAGAUUAAAACUUAAAUGAAUUGACGGGGUCAUAGCUGUUUCCU